rnacentral:tRNA from 1 species
GGAGAGAUGGCAGAGUGGUCGAAUGCACCGGUCUUGAAAACCGGCGAGGGUCACACCUCCGGGGGUUCGAAUCCCUGUCUCUCCGCCA